rnacentral:rRNA from 1 species
CAAUAGCGUAUAUUUAAGUUGUUGCAGUUAAAAAGCUCGUAGUUGGAUUUCGGGUGUGAACGACCGGUCCGUCUUUGAUGUGUACUGGUUGGUUGCGCCUUAUUGUCGAGGACGUGGUUCUAGCUUUCAUUAGCCGGGACACGGAGUCGGCAGCGUUACUUUGAGAAAAUUAGAGUGUUCAAAGCAGGCUAUCGCUCUGAAUACUACAGCAUGGAAUAACACGAUAGGACUCCGAGCCUAUUCUGUUGGUCUUCGGGACCGGAGUAAUGAUUAAGAGGGACAGUUGGGGGCAUUCGUAUUCCGAUGUCAGAGGUGAAAUUCUUGGAUUAUCGGAAGACGAGCAUCUGCGAAAGCAUUUGCCAAGGAUGUUUUCAUUAA